rnacentral:rRNA from 1 species
UACGUAGGGGGCAAGCGUUGUCCGGAUUUAUUGGGCGUAAAGAGCUCGUAGGUGGUUUGGUAAGUCGGAUGUGAAAUCUCCAGGCUCAACCUGGAGGGGUCAUUCGAUACUGCCGUGACUAGAGUUCGGUAGGGGAGUGUGGAAUUCCUGGUGGAGCGGUGAAAUGCGCAGAUAUCAGGAGGAACACCGAUGGCGAAGGCAGGUCUCUGGGCCGAUACUGACGCUGAGGAGCGAAAGCGUGGGGAGCGAACAGG